rnacentral:rRNA from 1 species
UACGAGUGCUUCGAGCGUUAUCCGGAAUCAUUGGGCGUAAAGGGUGCGUAGGUGGCAAUGUUAGUCUCCCGUAAAAUCUUUCGGCUCAACCGAGAGUCCGCGGGAGAAACGGCAUUGCUUGAGGACGAGAGAGGUUUCUGGAACUCAUAGUGUAGCGGUGAAAUUCGUAGAUAUUCGGAAGAACACCAGUGGCGAAGGCGACUUACUGGACACAUAUUGACGCUGAGGUGCGAAAGCGUGGGGAGCAAACAGG